UACGGGGGGGGCAAGCGUUGUUCGGAAUUACUGGGCGUAAAGGGCGCGUAGGCGGCCUUCUAAGUCGAACGUGAAAUCCCUGGGCUCAACCCAGGAACUGCGUCCGAUACUGGGAGGCUUGAAUCCGGGAGAGGGAUGCGGAAUUCCAGGUGUAGCGGUGAAAUGCGUAGAUAUCGAGAGGAACACCUGCGGCGAAGGCGAGUUGCUGGGCUGACACUGACGCUGAUGCGCGAAAGCCAGGGGAGCGAACGGG
rnacentral:rRNA from 1 species